ACAGAGAGCUUGCUCUCGGGUGACGAGCGGCGGACGGGUGAGUAAUGUCUGGGAAACUGCCUGAUGGAGGGGGAUAACUACUGGAAACGGUAGCUAAUACCGCAUAACGUCGCAAGACCAAAGUGGGGGACCUUCGGGCCUCAUGCCAUCAGAUGUGCCCAGAUGGGAUUAGCUAGUAGGUGGGGUAACGGCUCACCUAGGCGACGAUCCCUAGCUGGUCUGAGAGGAUGACCAGCCACACUGGAACUGAGACACGGUCCAGACUCCUACGGGAGGCAGCAGUGGGGAAUAUUGCACAAUGGGCGCAAGCCUGAUGCAGCCAUGCCGCGUGUGUGAAGAAGGCCUUCGGGUUGUAAAGCACUUUCAGCGGGGAGGAAGGCGAUGAGGUUAAUAACCUUGUCGAUUGACGUUACCCGCAGAAGAAGCACCGGCUAACUCCGUGCCAGCAGCCGCGGUAAUACGGAGGGUGCAAGCGUUAAUCGGAAUUACUGGGCGUAAAGCGCACGCAGGCGGUCUGUCAAGUCGGAUGUGAAAUCCCCGGGCUCAACCUGGGAACUGCAUUCGAAACUGGCAGGCUAGAGUCUUGUAGAGGGGGGUAGAAUUCCAGGUGUAGCGGUGAAAUGCGUAGAGAUCUGGAGGAAUACCGGUGGCGAAGGCGGCCCCCUGGACAAAGACUGACGCUCAGGUGCGAAAGCGUGGGGAGCAAACAGGAUUAGAUACCCUGGUAGUCCACGCUGUAAACGAUGUCGAUUUGGAGGUUGUGCCCUUGAGGCGUGGCUUCCGGAGCUAACGCGUUAAAUCGACCGCCUGGGGAGUACGGCCGCAAGGUUAAAACUCAAAUGAAUUGACGGGGGCCCGCACAAGCGGUGGAGCAUGUGGUUUAAUUCGAUGCAACGCGAAGAACCUUACCUGGUCUUGACAUCCACAGAACUUUCCAGAGAUGGAUUGGUGCCUUCGGGAACUGUGAGACAGGUGCUGCAUGGCUGUCGUCAGCUCGUGUUGUGAAAUGUUGGGUUAAGUCCCGCAACGAGCGCAACCCUUAUCCUUUGUUGCCAGCGGU
rnacentral:rRNA from 1 species